rnacentral:rRNA from 1 species
GAUGAACGCUGGCGGCGUGCCUAAUACAUGCAAGUCGAACGAAACUUCUUUAUCACCGAGUGCUUGCACUCACCGAUAAAGAGUUGAGUGGCGAACGGGUGAGUAACACGUGGGCAACCUGCCCAAAAGAGGGGGAUAACACUUGGAAACAGGUGCUAAUACCGCAUAACCAUAGUUACCGCAUGGUAACUAUGUAAAAGGUGGCUAUACUACCGCUUUUGGAUGGGCCCGCGGCGCAUUAGCUAGUUGGUAGGGUAAAGGCUUACCAAGGCAAUGAUGCGUAGCCGAAUUGAGAGGUUGAUUGGCCACAUUGGGACUGAGACACGGCCCAAACUCCUACGGGAGGCAGCAGUAGGGAAUCUUCCACAAUGGGCGAAAGCCUGAUGGAGCAACGCCGCGUGGGUGAAGAAGGUCUUCGGAUCGUAAAACCCUGUUGUUAGAGAAGAAAGUGCGUGAGAGUAACUGUUCACGUUUCGACGGUAUCUAACCAGAAAGCCACUGCUAACUACGUG